rnacentral:rRNA from 1 species
AACGAACGCUGGCGGCAGGCCUAACACAUGCAAGUCGAGCGAAGCCUUCGGGCUUAGCGGCGGACGGGUGAGUAACGCGUGGGAACGUGCCCUUUGGUACGGAAUAGCCCCGGGAAACUGGGAGUAAUACCGUAUGUGGUCGAGAGACGAAAGAUUUAUCGCCAAAGGAUCGGCCCGCGUUGGAUUAGGGAGUUGGUGGGGUAAUGGCCUACCAAGGCGACGAUCCAUAGCUGGUUUGAGAGGAUGAUCAGCCACACUGGGACUGAGAAACGGCCCAGACUCCUACGGGAGGCAGCAGUGGGGAAUCUUAGACAAUGGGGGAAAACCUGAUCUAGCCAUGCCGCGUGAUCGAUGAAGGCCUUAGGGUUGUAAAGAUCUUUCAGUGGGGAAGAUAAUGACUGUACCCACAGAAGAAGCCCCGGCUAACUCCGUGCCAGCAGCCGCCGUAACAC